rnacentral:tRNA from 1 species
CCUGGUGGCUCAGACAGUAAAGCAUCUGCCUGCAAUGCAGGAGACCCAGGUUCAAUCCCUGGGUCAGGA